AGUGAACGCUGGCGGUAGGCCUAACACAUGCAAGUCGAACGGCAGCACAGUAAGAGCUUGCUCUUACGGGUGGCGAGUGGCGGACGGGUGAGGAAUACAUCGGAAUCUACUUUUUCGUGGGGGAUAACGUAGGGAAACUUACGCUAAUACCGCAUACGACCUACGGGUGAAAGCAGGGGAUCUUCGGACCUUGCGCGAUUGAAUGAGCCGAUGUCGGAUUAGCUAGUUGGCGGGGUAAAGGCCCACCAAGGCGACGAUCCGUAGCUGGUCUGAGAGGAUGAUCAGCCACACUGGAACUGAGACACGGUCAAGACUCCUACGGGAGGCAGCAGUGGGGAAUAUGGGACAAUGGGCGCAAGCCUGGUCCAGCCAUACCGCGUGUGUGAAGAAGGCCUUCGGGUUGUAAAGACCUUUUGUUGGGAAAGAAAAGCAGCAGGUUAAUACCCCGCUGUUCUGACGGUACCCAAAGAAUAAGCACCGGCUAACUUCGUG
rnacentral:rRNA from 1 species